GUGCUUCCCUGAGGUAGACCAUGAGAUCACUGUGUCAGGAUAUGAUGGCAGGAGGAAAUACUGGAGAUAUUCAGCUGGAUCCAGACUGGUCCUCUGUGAUCUCAUGACUUGUGAAAGAACAGGGGCUUCAGCCCAGCUGCAAAUUAAUAGGCAGCUCAAAUCGAAAAGGCUAUUGAAGUUGUUGUUGCUUCUUAUAUUAUUUAUCACCAAAACUGCUGUAUGUCUGGUGAAUUACUUUCUCACUAU